rnacentral:rRNA from 1 species
UACGGGGGGAGCAAGCGUUGUUCGGAAUCACUGGGCGUAAAGGGAGUCUAGGCGGUUUGGUAAGUGGGAUGUGAAAUGCCCCGGCUCACCCGGGGACCUGCAUCCCAAACUGCUGAGCUUGAGUACAGGAGAGGGUGGGGGAAUUCCAGGUGUAGCGGUGAAAUGCGUAGAUAUCAUUUGGAACGCCAAUGGUGAAAACAGGUAGCUGGGGGUGUGCUGACGCUGAGACACGAAAGCCAGGGGAGCGAACGGG